GGAGAGUUGGGUGAGUGGUUUAAACCAGUAGUUUGCUAAAUUACAGUACGUGAAAACGUAUCGAGAGUUCGAAUCUCUCACUCUCCG
rnacentral:tRNA from 1 species